ACAGAGGGUGCAAACGUUGCUCGGAAUCACUGGGCGUAAAGGGCGCGUAGGCGGGAAUGUAAGUCGGGCGUGAAAUCCCUAGGCUCAACCUAGGAACUGCACUCGAAACUGCGUUUCUUGAGUAUCGGAGAGGAAAGCGGAAUUCCUGGUGUAGAGGUGAAAUUCGUAGAUAUCAGGAGGAACACCAGUGGCGAAGGCGGCUUUCUGGACGGUAACUGACGCUGAGGCGCGAAAGCGUGGGGAGCAAACAGGAUUAGAUACCCUGGUAGUCCACGCUGUAAACGAUGAGCGCUAGGUGUCGUGGGUAUUGACCCCCGCGGUGCCGAAGCUAACGCAUUAAGCGCUCCGCCUGGGAAGUACGGUCGCAAGACUA
rnacentral:rRNA from 1 species